rnacentral:lncRNA from 1 species
GGAACACUCGGCGAAUGGUUCUUUCUCUUACCCUCGCUUCAACAAGUGGAUUUGGCUAAUAACAACCUGACACGUGUCGAGAUCCCCAAGCCCGGCCUCGCCGGCGGAGACCUGGUGGCGGUGGAGCUGGGGUACAACAAGAUCGACGGCUACGCGCCUGUAACCUUCGCCGAAUACCCUUCGCUGUCGUCUUUAUCGAUGAGGUACAACCGAUUGCGUGGCAGGAUCCCAUUGGAGUACAGCCGGAGCAAGUCGUUAAGGAGGCUGUUCUUGGACGGAAACUUCCUGAUAGGCAGACCGCCGGCGAGACUCAUAGCCAGUGACUCGCAGGUUGCCGGUAGCUUGGGAGAUAAUUGUCUGCAGGGAUGUCCAGGGAAUGCUAACAUGUGCUCUCCUUCCCAAAAACCCAAUUCGAUUUGCAAGCAGGCUUAUGGAGGAAAACUCAGGUC